AGGAUCAUUAUUGAAAUAAACCUGAUGAGUUGCUGCUGGUUCUCUAGGGAGCAUGUGCACACUUGUCAUCUUUGUAUCUUCACCUGUGCACCUUUUGUAGACCUUGGGUAUCUCUCUGAUUGCUUAGCACUCAGGAUUGAGGAUUGACAGAAAGUCUCUUCUUACAUUUCCAGGUCUAUGUUUCUUCAUAUACCCUAAUGUAUGUUUCAGAAUGUAAUUAAUGGGCCUUUGUGCCUAUAAAUCUAUACAACUUUCAGCAACGGAUCUCUUGGCUCUCGCAUCGAUGAAGAACGCAGCGAAAUGCGAUAAGUAAUGUGAAUUGCAGAAUUCAGUGAAUCAUCGAAUCUUUGAACGCACCUUGCGCUCCUUGGUAUUCCGAGGAGCAUGCCUGUUUGAGUGUCAUUAAUAUAUCAACCUCUUCGGUUGGAUGUGGGUUUGCUGGUCUCUUGAGGUCAACUCCCCUUAAAUGCAUUAGCAGACAACAUUUUGCCAAACGCUCAUUGGUGUGAUAAUUAUMUAUGCUAUUGACGUGAAGCAGGUUCAGCUUCUAAUAGUCCAUUGACUUGGACAAAUUUCUAUUUAUUAAUGUGACCUCAAAUCAGGUAGGACUACCCGCUGA
rnacentral:rRNA from 1 species